GUGCCCACUUUGGUAGCACAUAUACUAAAAUUGGAACGAUAUGGAAAAGAUUAGCAUGGCCACUGGGCAAGGAUGACACACAAAUCUGUGAAGUGUUCCAUAUUUUU